UACACACUUCGGUUUACGAGGACCGGAUAGAACAAACCGUACGUGGUUUACGAGGACCGGGUAAAAACAAGCCUUACGUGGUUUACGAGGACCGGUUAAAACUAAGCACACAUGGUUUACAAGGUCCAAGUUGAGCUAUCGCAUAUCUUUUAAGAUAUGUCAUAUGUGAUAUAUUUAUUUAGCGUUAGAGAGAUCACCAUGUUGAGGUCGAGAGUUCUCUGAUUUCUGACCGUGGUUGCCUGUCAGCACAUCAUUUGGGUUAAUUUAGCAAUACGUCUCUUCAGUAAAAUAAUUAAAAAUGAAUACACUUUUGCGCUAUGCGGGAUUGCUUUUUUUUUUUAAUAAAACCCUGGCAGCUACAGUAAAAACCUACAAUGAUUUGACUUUUUUUAUUUUUGUGUUUUCACUCACGGGAACCCUGCGUCUAUUUUUCGCGCGUUUUGCUCUUGCAACUCGCGGCCAUCAGCCAACACGGUGGUUUGGCAAAUGUUUUGCCUUUUUUUUCGUCGUGAAAACCAAGAAAGAUCGACACACUAUAAUAUAAAGAUGUACAAACGAUGGAUAGAAGGAUAAACAAUGGAAUUUGAAAGAAGGUGAAUCUCACUUACAAGAUAGACUCCGAGAAAGCUACCAGCUUAGAAGCAUGAUGCUAGGGCAGGAUUUAUGUAAGGCAAUUGUAUUAAUGCAGCUCAGCAAAAAUUAACACAACCUGAGUAACAAACAGAUAGAUAAUAAUUUUACAAAUGAAAAUUUUC